UACGUAGGUGGCAAGCGUUAUCCGGAAUUACUGGGCGUAAAGCGCACGCAGGCGGCUCGUCAAGUUCGACGUGAAAGCUCCCGGCUUAACUGGGAGAGGUCGUUGAAAACUGGCGAGCUUGAGGCAAUGAGAGGGGUGUAGAAUUCCCGGUGUAGUGGUGGAAUGCGUAGAUAUCGGGAGGAAUACCAGUGGCGAAAGCGGCACCCUAGCGUUGUUCUGACGCUCAUGUGCGAAAGCGUGGGGAGCGAACGGG
rnacentral:rRNA from 1 species